ensembl:lincRNA Gm28055 predicted gene 28055
GAAUAGAAGACAAUAAAAAUCAGCUGCAGUAUUCACUAAGUUCUAAGGAAGGAAGCCAUUGACGCGACAAGCAGGCUCUUAUCCAGGGCUUCUUAUCAUCAGCCAGAGGAGCCUGCGCUGGAAAUGAAAUUCCGAGCUGGAAAUGAAAUUCUGAGCCACAACAAGGAAAGACUGCUUCCUUAAUUGAGCCUCUCCCUUUUGAAGUCGUCUCCCCACAGAGCCCGGAGCUGGCAGGUCCUUUGGCCAGCAUAACCCCUAUGUAAUCUCUUGCUCACCAGAAGCAGAUGCUGCACGGAGAGGGAGGCCUUUAUGAAAGGCGUUAAAUAAGGUUUCUCAGCCUUGCACAUGCCGGCCAGGCAGAGGGAGGGCCGUUUUUCAGAAAAGCAACUGAUCAAAGACAUCAAGAUUCUGGCACUUAGGGUUUUCUUGUCAAUACACCUCAGUCAGGAUUCUGAAGUGGGGGUUCUAGCACUCUGAACGUCUUCCCAUUCAGUCUUGCUCCCCUCCCAUGCCCCUCAAAGCCCUAUCCAGCCCUCUUGCUUCAGGACCACCUCAUCUCCAGUUCCUCCAUAUAGCAAUCCUUUAAACUAGGGUACACAAUUCUAUUAAAAAAACCUCAGAUCGUCCUUCCUAAGAAUUUACAGGAGGACUCAGGAGUCUCACCUCACCAUGUAAGCUGAGUGGACACUUUCUAGCUGAUUUUUAAGUCUCUUCUGUUCUUCUCUGCUUAUUCUAUCCCUCCCUCAGUAUGUUAAGAUGGAAACAUUAAAAGCUUUUGUGGAUUUUAAAGUGAAAAUUCUUAGGAUUUGCUCUAUAUACUCUCCAGUGAAUUCUCAUUUGAUUCUUUACGGCUGUUAAACACAAAGAACAAAGUGGCCAGCAAUAAUCGUGUCACAUUUAACCUUGAGCUUUGCAGAGGCCUGAGAUUGCCUGAGAGUCUGAGCUUUGGACCUGAGGAUGUGGCUUGGUAUAGUCCUGACCUAACACACACGAACACCAUCACUGCAUAAAUCAGGGCGUGGUGAUGCUCUCUAUGGAGGUGGAAGGAUUCUCAGCCACACAGUGAGUUAAGGCCAGUGUGAGAUACAUGAGACUAUCUCAAAACACACAAAAAUCUGGGCUUUGGAACUGAAUGGAAGUAGAUUAAAACCUUUGCUUUAGUACAUCAGGGCAACACUGGGUCCUUAUGUCUCAGGGUUUUUUGUUUGUUUGUUUGUUUGUUUGUUUGUUUUUUGUUUUUUCUGUAUGGUUAAGUUGAAAUGACAUUUUGUGUGUAAAGGAAGUAACAAAAAAAGUAUGAAAUAAACAUAUUAGUGUAAAA